rnacentral:rRNA from 1 species
AGAACGAACGCUGGCGGCAUGCCUAACACAUGCAAGUCGAACGCCCCGCAAGGGGAGUGGCGAACGGGUGAGUAACGCGUGGGAACCUACCCAGCAGUUGGGGAUAACCGCGGGAAACUGCGGCUAAUACCGAAUACGUCCUGAGGGAGAAAGAUUUAUCGCUGUUGGAGGGCCCGCGUCGGAUUAGCUAGUUGGUGAGGUAAUGGCUCACCAAGGCAUCGAUCCGUAGCUGGUCUGAGAGGAUGAUCAGCCACACUGGACUUAGACACGGCCCAGACUCCUACGGGAGGCAGCAGGUGGGAAUAGUUGGACGAAGUGGGGGCCAACCCGUGACUCCAGCAAGUCGCCGCGUGAGUGAUGAAGGUCCGUUAGGGUUAGUAAGUCUUCGUUUUACCGGGACGAUGAUGGACCGGUACCGGAG